GUAGUCCCGGCAGCACGUAUACUAAAAUUGGAAGGAUACAAGAAAAUUAGUAUGGCCCCUGCACAAGGAUGACAUGCAAAUUCGUGAAGCAUCCCAUAUUUUU
rnacentral:snRNA from 1 species